ensembl:lncRNA
GUUUUGGAAUUGGAAGUGUGAGGUGGUUGGGCCCUGAGGUGAGUGGUAGGGGGAAAUGUUGCUCUUGGAUCUCUUGGUGAGGAAUAAAUGUCACCUGUUUCCUAAGAGUCCUUCUCUCCCUCAGGAAGUCUGGGGUGUGGGCCAUAUCUCUACUCCUCACCUGACCCUAAUGAAAAUGGGGAGCAGUUCCCCUUUCCCCUUCCUCUACCAUUCCCAGAACAGUAGGGAGAAUAGAACUUGUAGCUCUGAAAAUGAUAAGAGAUAGGAAUAUUUUACUGAAAACAGCUGCUUAUUUUCAUUUAGAAAAAGUUGCUGACUCCAGAGACUCUCACAGGUGGGCAGUCAAUGGGGGGCUGUGUAUGGAUGGGUUUUGCGAUUGUGGACACUGGAGUAGCCAGGGCAGAGUCUAGGAACUGGGUGGGUCCUGCUGAAGAGUCUGUUAUACGUAGGGUUUUAAUCUGUCUAGAAGGUAUAUUUUGAAAUCUACAAUGAGGUCUCCUAGCUUGUGAGGGACGCUGAAGAUCAGGAAGAGCCGCACCUCAGGUAAACCUCUUCAGGAGGCCUAGCUUGAUAGCAGUAUUGCAAGACCAAGAGGUCACCUGGCCAUCUCUGAAGGAAUGGUCAUCGGGCAGCCACUCAGGAUAUGGGGGGAAAAGAAACAGAGAGUAAAGAAAAUGCAACGGUGGAGUGAAUGUGAAAGGAAGAAAAAAAAGGAGAAGGGGAAGAAUGACCUCAUCAUCACUCUUCAUGACCCCGUCCUGGCCAUGCACUCCACCCAACACUACCUAGGCCUCGCCUCCUGGAGACUGAUCUGGGCUUAGUGGAGCAGAAUGCUACCACUGCAGCAUAAAAGGAUGGGGGAUAGUCUUUGAGCAUGAAGACAGUUUCUCCAGGGAGACUGUCCGAGAGGGCAUCCUCCUAUUUGGUGCCCGCCUUCCCAGCCAUGCUAUAUCUUACACCAAGGUUACAGUAAUUUCGGGGUGUGUUAUCUAUUGCUAUGUAAUGGAUACCCCAAAAUUUUGUGGCUUAAAAAAACACAUAUUUAUUAACUCAGUUUUUCUGGGUCAGGAGUCUAGGCAAGGCCUACCUGGGUUCCCUGCUCCAGGGUCUCUCACAAGGCUGCAAUUAAGGUAUCAGCUGGGGCUGGGGUCUCAUCUGAAGGCUCAACUGGAGAAGGACAUAGUUCUGAGCUUGCUUAUAUAGCUGUUGGCAGGAUGCAGCUCCUCAAGGCCUGUUGGACUGAGAUCCUCAAUUCCUGGUGGCUGUGGGCUGGAGUUGGCUGGAGGCAAUCCUCAGUUCCUUCUCCUGUGGGCCUCUCCAACAUGGAAGCUUGCUUCAUUAAAGCCAGGAGAGAGUCUGACAGCAAGACAGAAGUCACAAUCUUUUGUAAACUAAUAAUGGAAAUGACAUCCCAUCACCUUUCCCUUAUUCUAUUAGUCAGAAGCAAAUCACUAAGUCCAGCCUACUCUCAAGGGGAGGGGUAAUUACCCAAAGGUGUGAAUAUCAGGAGGCGGGGAUCAUUGGAACAUUCUUAGACGUCUUCCUAACACCAGGGUUUCUUCUUGGACACCCCACUCAGUUCACUGAAGCAAAAGUGGCCAAAGGUGCCAAGUGGAUCCUUGUUCUCAUCCAUAUCCAUGUCUUCAAGGUCAAAGCUGCUUAAGAGCUGAGUGGACACUGUCCACGAGUGAUCCCAUACUCUUGUUCUGCUUCUAGGACUGUUUUCCUUGUUCCCAGACUCCUGUUCCUAUGGGAAAGCAGGACUGUCA